GAAAGGGAAACAGCCCAGACCACCAGCUAAGGUCCCAAAAUAUAUGUUAAGUGGAAAAGGAUGUGGCGUUGCCCAGACAACUAGGAUGUUGGCUUAGAAGCAGCCAUCAUUUAAAGAGUGCGUAAUAGCUCACUAGUCGAGUGACACUGCGCCGAAAAUGUACCGGGGCUAAACAUAUUACCGAAGCUGUGGAUUGUCCUUUGGACAAUGGUAGGAGAGCGUUCUAAGGGCGUUGAAGCAUGAUCGCAAGGACAUGUGGAGCGCUUAGAAGUGAGAAUGCCGGUGUGAGUAGCGAAAGACGGGUGAGAAUCCCGUCCACCGAUUGACUAAGGUUUCCAGAGGAAGGCUCGUCCGCUCUGGGUUAGUCGGGUCCUAAGCUGAGGCCGACAGGCGUAGGCGAUGGAUAACAGGUUGAUAUUCCUGUACCACCAUUAUUCGUUUUAAGCGAUGGGGGGACGCAGUAGGAUAGGCGAAGCGUGCUGUUGGAG
rnacentral:rRNA from 1 species